rnacentral:rRNA from 1 species
GACGAACGCUGGCGGCGUGCCUAAUACAUGCAAGUAGAACGCUGAAGAGAGGAGCUUGCUCUUCUUGGAUGAGUUGCGAACGGGUGAGUAACGCGUAGGUAACCUGCCUGGUAGCGGGGGAUAACUAUUGGAAACGAUAGCUAAUACCGCAUAAAAUGGAUUAUCGCAUGAUAAUCCAUUGAAAGGUGCAAAUGCAUCACUACCAGAUGGACCUGCGUUGUAUUAGCUAGUUGGGGGGGUAACGGCUCACCAAGGCGACGAUACAUAGCCGACCUGAGAGGGUGAUCGGCCACACUGGGACUGAGACACGGCCCAGACUCCUACGGGAGGCAGCAGUAGGGAAUCUUCGGCAAUGGACGGAAGUCUGACCGAGCAACGCCGCGUGAGUGAAGAAGGUUUUCGGAUCGUAAAGCUCUGUUGUAAGAGAAGAACGAGUGUGAGAGUGGAAAGUUCACACUGUGACGGUAUCUUACCAGAAAGGGACGGCUAACUACGUGCCAGCAGCCGCGGUAAUACGUAGGUCCCGAGCGUUGUCCGGAUUUAUUGGGCGUAAAGCGAGCGCAGGCGGUUAGAUAAGUCUGAAGUUAAAGGCUGUGGCUUAACCAUAGUACGCUUUGGAAGCUGUUUAACUUGAGUGCAAGAGGGGAGAGUGGAAUUCCAUGUGUAGCGGUGAAAUGCGUAGAUAUAUGGAGGAACACCGGUGGCGAAAGCGGCUCUCUGGCUUGUAACUGACGCUGAGGCUCGAAAGCGUGGGGGGCAAACAGG